UUCAGAGCAAAAGAACUCUCAGAAGCAAAAACACUCAAAUUAGAUUGCCUUCAAGGCAAUAACUUAGCAUUUACAACUGCUUUUGCAAAGCAGGUAGAAGUGAUGAAUACAUAUGGUACACCAUAAAUACCAAACAUAAUUAAACGCUACGUUAGUGACAUGACUUCAUGCAUAACUAAGAAGCAUUAACAGUAAAGACGAUACAGAUGCAAUCUCUUUACAGCAGCAACAACACCAGGUCAUAAACUAAGCCAUCCGCUCAUAAUCGACACGCCAAACCUGUUCAAUCACAUUUGAUGUCCCUCAUUUUUUCUGAAAACUUGCUCCAAGAAGCCUCUUAUGUCUUGAUUGGUGCUCUGCUGCUUCAUAACUUUAUCUUCCCCUCCUAGUAGCCCUACUAAACAUGUCUUUGAUAUUUAGGGAGUUGGUCUCCACUUUGGCCUUUUUAGUCUGUCUUUUGCUCUUACUAGUCUUUUCCCAGUCUUCACUCGUUCCCUGAUGAUUUGGAAACAUACAAAAAGCAGUGAUAUACAUCACAAAUGAAAACUGAAAGUAUACAAACUAAGCAGCAUCUCAUAUACAUAGACAAUUUUCAUGGCUACCCUUUUCGUUCCUUUAUGUAAACAUGCAAAGCUUUUUCUUUCUUCUAAACAUGUCUUUGAUAUUUAGGGAGUUGGUCUCCACUUUGGCCUUUUUAGUCUGUCUUUUGCUCUUACUAGUCUUUUCUCGGUCUUCACUCUUUCCC
rnacentral:lncRNA from 1 species